rnacentral:rRNA from 1 species
AGCAGUCGCCGCGGUAAUACGAAGGGGGCUAGCGUUGUUCGGAAUUACUGGGCGUAAAGGGCGCGUAGGCGGCCAUUCAAGUUAGAUGUGAAAGCCCUGGGCUCAACCUAGGAAUUGCAUUUGAUACUGUUUGGCUUGAGUUCGGGAGAGGUGAGUGGAAUUCCCAGUGUAGAGGUGAAAUUCGUAGAUAUUGGGAAGAACACCAGUGGCGAAGGCGGCUCACUGGACCGACACUGACGCUGAGGCGCGAAAGCGUGGGGAGCAAACAGGAUUAGAUACCCGCGUAGUCCCUGUCUCUUAUAC